rnacentral:tRNA from 1 species
GUGGUGGCUCAGCGGUAGAGCGCUCACCUUACACGUGUGAGGCCCUGGGUUCGCUCCUCAGCACCACA